UCUCCCCUACGGGGCGCAGCAGUGAGGAAUAUUGGUCAAUGGACGCAAGUCUGAACCAGCCAUGCCGCGUGCAGGAAGACGGCUCUAUGAGUUGUAAACUGCUUUUGUACGAGGGUAAACGCAGAUACGUGUAUCUGUCUGAAAGUAUCGUACGAAUAAGGAUCGGCUAACUCCGUGCCAGCAGCCGCGGUAAUACGGAGGAUUCAAGCGUUAUCCGGAUUUAUUGGGUUUAAAGGGUGCGUAGGCGGAUUGAUAAGUUAGAGGUGAAAUGGCCGGGCUCAACUCGGGAACUGCCUCUACUACUG
rnacentral:rRNA from 1 species